rnacentral:lncRNA from 1 species
GUCACUCGGUGUUCUCACCGAAAGCACGUAAUCGCCGGUGUAACUCAUGUUGGCUGGGGGGCCUCCCGGCGCGCGGCGAGGCUGAGGUGCGCCCCA